rnacentral:rRNA from 1 species
UGGGGAAUUUUGGACAAUGGGCGCAAGCCUGAUCCAGCCAUGCCGCGUGAGUGAAGAAGGCCUUGGUUGUAAGACUCUUUCGGUCCGGGAAGAAAUCGUGGUCUCUAACAUAGGCCAUGGAUGACGGUACCGGACUAAGAAGCACC